rnacentral:tRNA from 1 species
GCCUGGGUGGCUCAGUCGGUUGAGCAUCCGACUUCAGCUCGGAUCUUGCGGUUCGUGAACUCGAGCCCCACGUC